rnacentral:rRNA from 1 species
CUUUUACACCAAAAAGGACUUUUAAUUCAACAUCGAGGUCACAAACUUAUUUGUCAAUUAGAACUUUCUAAAUAAAUUAAGCUGUUAUCCCUAAAGUAACUAAUUCUUCUUUUAAAAAUUUUAGAUAUUAAGAUUUAAUUUCUUUAAAAAUAGAAAAAGUUUUAUUUUUUCCACCGCCCCAGUAAAAUACUUAUUUCCUUUCCUAAAGAAAAUUAAAUAUAAAGUUUUAUAGGGUCUUCUCGUCUUUAAGAAAUAUUUUAGCCUUCUUACUAAAAAGUUACUUCAUCUCUUCUCCUUAAAAAUCUUUCCAGUUACCCUUUCAUUCUAG